CGCUACACAUGCAGUCGAACGAAGUAGCAAUACUUAGUGGCAGACGGGUGAGUAACAUGUGGGUAUCUACCCUUUGGCCUGGAAUAACACGAGGAAACUUGUGCUAAUACCGGAUAAGUCUUUACGGAGAAAGCUUUAUGCACCAUUGGAUGAGCCCGCACUUGAUUAGUUUGUUGGUAGGGUAAUGGCCUACCAAGACUAUGAUCAAUAGCUGAUUUGAGAGGAUGAUCAGCCACAUUGGGACUGAGACACGGCCCAAACUCCUACGGGAGGCAGCAGUGGGGAAUCUUGCACAAUGGAGGAAACUCUGAUGCAGCGAUGCCGCGUGAGUGAAGAAGGCCUUUGGGUUGUAAAGCUCUUUCGUCGGGGAAGAAAAUGACUGUACCCGAAUAAGAAGGUCCGGCUAACUUCGUGCCAGCAGCCGCGGUAAUACGAAGGGACCUAGCGUAGUUCGGAAUUACUGGGCUUAAAGAGUUCGUAGGUGGUUGAAAAAGUUGGUGGUGAAAUCCCAGAGCUUAACUCUGGAACUGCCAUCAAAACUUUUCAGCUAGAGUAUGAUAGAGGAAAGCAGAAUUUCUAGUGUAGAGGUGAAAUUCGUAGAUAUUAGAAAGAAUACCAAUUGCGAAGGCAGCUUUCUGGAUCAUUACUGACACUGAGGAACGAAAGCAUGGGUAGCGAAGAGGAUUAGAUACCCUCGUAGUCCAUGCCGUAAACGAUGUGUGUUAGACGUUGGAAAUUUAUUUUCAGUGUCGCANGGAAACCGAUAAACACACCGCCUGGGGAGUACGACCGCAAGGUUAAAACUCAAAUGAAUUGACGGGGACCCGCACAAGUAGUGGAGCAUGUGGUUUAAUUCGAAGAUACGCGCAGAACCUUACCAACACUUGACAUGUUCGUCGCGACUCUAGAGAUUAGAGUUUUCGGUUCGGCCGGACGAAACACAGGUGCUGCAUGGCUGUCGUCAGCUCGUGUCGUGAGAUGUUGGGGUUAAGUCCCGCAACGAGCGCAACCCCU
rnacentral:rRNA from 1 species